rnacentral:rRNA from 1 species
UACGGAGGGUGCAAGCGUUAUCCGGAUUUACUGGGUUUAAAGGGUGCGUAGGUGGGUCUGUAAGUCAGUGGUGAAAUCUUCGAGCUUAACUCGGAAACUGCCAUUGAUACUAUAGGUCUUGAAUCAUCUGGAGGUGAGCGGAAUAUGUCAUGUAGCGGUGAAAUGCUUAGAUAUGACAUAGAACACCGAUUGCGAAGGCAGCUCACUACGGAUGUAUUGACACUGAGGCACGAAAGCGUGGGGAGCAAAAGGG